rnacentral:tRNA from 1 species
UCCCUGGUAGUAUAUCGGUUUAGUACACGCGCCUGUCAUCACCUGAAUGGCUUGUUGACUUGAAUAUGCGCGCGAAAGCUGGGUUCGACUCCCAGCCAGGGAG